AUUGAACGCUGGCGGCAUGCCUUACACAUGCAAGUCGAACGGCAGCACGGGAGCAAUCCUGGUGGCGAGUGGCGAACGGGUGAGUAAUAUAUCGGAACGUGCCCAGUCGUGGGGGAUAACGUAGCGAAAGCUACGCUAAUACCGCAUACGAUCUAUGGAUGAAAGCGGGGGAUCGCAAGACCUCGCGCGAUUGGAGCGGCCGAUAUCAGAUUAGGUAGUUGGUGAGGUAAAGGCUCGCCAAGCCGACGAUCUGUAGCUGGUCUGAGAGGACGACCAGCCACACUGGGACUGAGACACGGCCCAGACUCCUACGGGAGGCAGCAGUGGGGGAAUUUUUGGGACAAUGGGCGCAAGCCUGAUCCAGCAAUGCCGCGUGCAGGAUGAAGGCC
rnacentral:rRNA from 1 species